rnacentral:rRNA from 1 species
AGCGAACGCUGGCGGCAGGCUUAACACAUGCAAGUCGAGCGCCCGUAGCAAUACGGGAGCGGCAGACGGGUGAGUAACACGUGGGAACGUGCCUUUUGGUUCGGAACAACUGAGGGAAACUUCAGCUAAUACCGGAUAAGCCCUUACGGGGAAAGAUUUAUCGCCAAAAGAUCGGCCCGCGUCUGAUUAGCUAGUUGGUGGGGUAAUGGCCCACCAAGGCUACGAUCAGUAGCUGGUCUGAGAGGAUGAUCAGCCACACUGGGACUGAGACACGGCCCAGACUCCUACGGGAGGCAGCAGUGGGGAAUCUUGGACAAUGGGCGCAAGCCUGAUCCAGCCAUGCCGCGUGAGUGAUGAAGGCCUUAGGGUUGUAAAGCUCUUUCAGCGGGGAAGAUAAUGACGGUACCCGCAGAAGAAGCCCCGGCUAACUUCGUGCCAGCCGCCGCCGUAA